CCUUGACUUUUUAAUAAACAUCUCCUUCUAAGGAGAUGCAGAAGGAAAGGAGGGUCUAAGUGAGACUCUGGCCUGUCUAAUAAUGUCUGGGAAGCAGGCUAAACUUAAGGUCAUGGUCCACUCUUACUUCAGAGAGGGAGCUCAGAUUGUGACAUUACUGUUUCCUUUCUGGCCUUUUCUCCUGCUUAAAAGGAAGAAUUGGAAAUAGUUUUGAGUAGUGGUUGGUUCACAUUACCUCCCUCUUGGUUUGUGUUAUUGGGUUUUUUUGCCCCCCAUUAUUAGGACAGUGGCUCCCUGGUUAAGGAUGAGGUGGGCUAGGUCUAACAGGUGCCCUGAGGGGAUAGACUAUUUUCAUUUUGAGGGAGAGAAUUCUCCCUACCAUAUAGUUGACAG
rnacentral:lncRNA from 1 species